rnacentral:rRNA from 1 species
UACGUAGGGUGCAAGCGUUGUCCGGAAUUAUUGGGCGUAAAGGGCUCGUAGGCGGUCUGUCGCGUCAAGGAGUGGAAAACUCGGGGCCUUAACCCCGAGCCUGCUUCUGAUACGGGCAGACUAGAGGUAUGCAGGGGAGAACGGAAUUCCUGGUGUAGCGGUGAAAUGCGCAGAUAUCGGGAAGAACACCCGUGGCGAAGGCGGCUCUCUGGGACGGUACUGACGCUGAGACGCGAAAGCGUGGGGAGCGAACAGG